rnacentral:rRNA from 1 species
GAUGAACGCUGGCGGCGUGCCUAACACAUGCAAGUCGAGCGAACAGACGAGGGGCUUGCUCCUCUGACGUUAGCGGCGGACGGGUGUGUAGCACGUGGAUAACCUACCUAUAAGACUGGGAUAACUUCGGGAAACCGGAGCUAAUACCGGAUAAUAUAUUGAACCGCAUGGUUCAAUAGUGAAAGACGGUUUUGCUGUCACUUAUAGAUGGAUCCGCGCCGCAUUAGCUAGUUGGUAGGGUAACGGCCUACCAAGGCAACGAGGCGUAGCCGAACUGAGAGAGGGGUAGCCCGCCUUGGAGGGGAAACGCGCUCCGUGCUCCUGAGGUAGGAAGCAGAAGGGAAUCUGCGGCAAUGGGCGAAAGCCUGACGGAGCAAGGCGGCGUGAGAUAUAAAGAUCUUGGGUUCGUAAAACCCUGUUAUGGGGGAAAAACAAAUGUGUAAGUAGCUAUGCACGGAUUGACGGUACCGAAUAAGAAAGCCACGGCUAACUACGUG